rnacentral:rRNA from 1 species
GUGCCAGCCGCCGCGGUAACACGGGGGGAGCAAGCGUUGUUCGGAAUCACUGGGCGUAAAGGGAGUCUAGGCGGUCAGGUAAGUGGGAUGUGAAAUCCCUCGGCUCACCCGAGGACCUGCAUCCCAAACUGCCUGGCUUGAGUAUGGGAGAGGAUGAGGGAAUUCCUGGUGUAGCGGUGAAAUGCGUAGAUAUCAGGAGGAACACCGGUGGCGAAGGCGCUCAUCUGGCCCAAUACUGACGCUGAAGCUCGAAAGCUAGGGGAGCAAACGGGAUUAGAUACCCCCGUAGUCC